rnacentral:rRNA from 1 species
AUUGAACGCUGGCGGCAGGCCUAACACAUGCGAGUCGAGCGGAUGAAGGGAGCUUGCUCCUGGAUUCAGCGGCGGAUGGGUGAGUAAUGCCUAGGAAUCUGCCUGGUAGUGGGGGAUAACGUCCGGAAACGGGCGCUAAUACCGCAUACGUCCUGAGGGAGAAAGUGGGGGAUCUUCGGACCUCACGCUAUCAGAUGAGCCUAGGUCGGAUUAGCUAGUUGGUGGGGUAAAGGCCUACCAAGGCGACGAUCCGUAACUGGUCUGAGAGGAUGAUCAGUCACACUGGAACUGAGACACGGUCCAGACUCCUACGGGAGGCAGCAGUGGGGAAUAUUGGACAAUGGGCGAAAGCCUGAUCCAGCCAUGCCGCGUGUGUGAAGAAGGUCUUCGGAUUGUAAAGCACUUUAAGUUGGGAGGAAGGGCAGUAAGUUAAUACCUUGCUGUUUUGACGUUACCAACAGAAUAAGCACCGGCUAACUUCGUG